rnacentral:rRNA from 1 species
AAGUCGGACGGUAGCACAGAGAGCUUNNNNUUGGGUGACGAGUGGCGGACGGGUGAGUAAUGUCUGGGGAUCUGCCCGAUAGAGGGGGAUAACCACUGGAAACGGUGGCUAAUACCGCAUAACGUCGCAAGACCAAAGAGGGGGACCUUCGGGCCUCUCACUAUCGGAUGAACCCAGAUGGGAUUAGCUAGUAGGCGGGGUAAUGGCCCACCUAGGCGACGAUCCCUAGCUGGUCUGAGAGGAUGACCAGCCACACUGGAACUGAGACACGGUCCAGACUCCUACGGGAGGCAGCAGUGGGGAAUAUUGCACAAUGGGCGCAAGCCUGAUGCAGCCAUGCCGCGUGUAUGAAGAAGGCCUUCGGGU